rnacentral:rRNA from 1 species
GAUGAACGCUGGUGGCGUGCCUAAUACAUGCAAGUCGAGCGAACAGACGAGGAGCUUGCUCCUCUGACGUUAGCGGCGGACGGGUGAGUAACACGUGGAUAACCUACCUAUAAGACUGGGAUAACUUCGGGAAACCGGAGCUAAUACCGGAUAAUAUAUUGAACCGCAUGGUUCAAUAGUGAAAGACGGUUUUGCUGUCACUUAUAGAUGGAUCCGCGCCGCAUUAGCUAGUUGGUAAGGUAACGGCUUACCAAGGCAACGAUGCGUAGCCGACCUGAGAGGGUGAUCGGCCACACUGGAACUGAGACACGGUCCAGACUCCUACGGGAGGCAGCAGUAGGGAAUCUUCCGCAAUGGGCGAAAGCCUGACGGAGCAACGCCGCGUGAAUGAUGAAGGUCUUCGGAUCGUAAAACUCUGUUAUUAGGGAAGAACAAAUGUGUAAGUAACUAUGCACGUCUUGACGGUACCUAAUCAGAAAGCCACGGCUAACUACGUG